rnacentral:lncRNA from 1 species
AUGACAUAGCGUAAUGUGGCAGCAGGCGAUGGAGCCAUAGUUCUUGUUACUUCUUACCACCUUGUACUUCUGGUAAUGUCAUAAUUUCUCUUUCCCUAGACUCCAUCAACCCCCUCCUUCAGCUCCAGACAGACGCAAGUUUAUUUGUGGCUUCAGCAGCCAAUCAGAUGCUCACUCACCUCCUGAUGUUCUGUCACCCUCUUUCAUCUGGCUUCAAUGAAACAGAAGUGGACAAUAAGAGUUCAAGCUCCUCCAUCACAGGUUUAAAGUGCCCAAAUGCCACUGAAACCGACCAGGAAGGUGCUGCUGUUGUCACAGAAAUCUUAGAGUUCCUGAAGAGACGGAUGCUGCCCAAAGAACCAUCACAGUUUCAUCAGAGUCAGCAGAUCCUGAAGCUGCUAGCCUCAAUUCUGAGCCAGGCUGGACCUUCUCUUCAGAACAAACUACUGCUCACUGUCGGGGAAUCUUUGGAAGAACUUGUGGCCUCAAACUACAGCCAGCUCACUCGUCCACUUAUGGAUGUCAUUCUAGCUGCUUACAGCUCCAGUUGCGGCGAUGCGAAGGUCCCUGAUCAAAUCGUUUCUCGUCUUCUGUCAGUCAUGCUAAACCAGAGAGCACCAUCUGACCUCAUCCAUGCUGCAGCUGCUUUUCUCUGUAGCGGCCACAACAACCGCAUUCACAUGGAGCAGUCUGCGUGUAUUCUCCUGCUUCCCGUGGACAUUAUCACCAGUCUUGCUUUAUUGGAGGGAAACUUUAUAGUGAAGGAUCAUCGGCUAUCAAUGAUGGAGCAACUUAAAAGUAAAACCUCCUGUAUUUCCAUGAUUUGCAUCAGCCUAAAAUAUAUUCCAAGGAUCACUCUCAUGGUGAGUUUAGCACAUAGCAUCGUUUUUCAAUGGUUUUUUUUUUUUUGA